CUGGAAGACUGAAAAAGCAAACUCCACAUGGACCCUGGAGCCACAAGCUUUCUCUCUUGAGCUCCUAAUCUAUCCACCCUGGCAGCUCCACCAGUACAUUUUGACAAGAAAACAAUAAGAAAAUAAAGGAAAAUAGGAGUCAAGUAAUCCUCCUUCCUCAGUGCUGCUGGCAGAGAUAGCAGC
rnacentral:lncRNA from 12 species